AGUUUUUUGCAGAUUAAUUUUUAGAUGCACCCUUCUGCUUUGACUAUCCAGGGCAUUCAAUAAGAACAUGGAGGACUGUGAAAUUAUUACCGCGAUCGUAUAAGUUGGAGGAGCCUUCCCAGUCAUGAGUCAGGGUGAUAACCACUGCAAAUCACAUCUUACACAGAUCAUAUGGCUAAAAAUUCUUGAUGUGGUGCGCACGGUACAUUGCCAACGUCAUCCCUUUUGGCUUCAAGUUGGAGCACCACAUAAAGCUGAGCGUGCCAUUCGCUUGCAUUCAAUUCGAUCGCCCGUGUGAAGAAGACGCAUGGAUCCACGUUUUCUAAACUUCCAGGUUGUCUGUGUCGUGUCAUUUGUAGCAACAUUAGCUAUCACCGCUGAAGGCCACACGAUGCAAUCUCCUGCUGUACUUAAGACCUUUCACAAGACGUGCGAAUACACGACCCAAUGCGAACCGCACCUCUGCUGCUUGAAGAGAGGCCGUUCACAGACUUGUCAGCAUGAAGGAAAACUAGGACAUUGGUGCAAAAAGAAAGCUACUAAUGGAGUCUAUUCUAAGUACUGCCCCUGUAGGCAGGGCGAAGGAACGUGCAAAAAAGGCUUCUGCAAAUGGAAAAGUGCCUAAUUUCCCAGUAGAAAGCUGGUACAUCUUAUUAUGGGGAAUAAUAAAACAGUCCAAUUAAUAGUGAUAA